rnacentral:rRNA from 1 species
GACGAACGCUGGCGGCGUGCUUAACACAUGCAAGUCGAGCGGUAAGGCCCUUCGGGGUACACGAGCGGCGAACGGGUGAGUAACACGUGGGUGACCUGCCCUCCACUUCGGGAUAAGCCUGGGAAACUGGGUCUAAUACCGGAUAGGACCAUGGGGAUGCAUGUUCUGUGGUGGAAAGUUUUUUCGGUGGGGGAUGGGCCCGCGGUCUAUCAGCUUGUUGGUGGGGGUGAUGGCCUACCAAGGCGACGACGGAUAGCCGGCCUGAGAGGGUGAUCGG